rnacentral:lncRNA from 1 species
UUUUUGUGUCUCUCUGGCCACAACAUUACACUUAAUUCACUUCUGCCUAAAGCCUUCUUCACCUCGACACUUCUCCUUUAUCGGGAAACUGCGAUUACGCAUCGAGAUCUUCAUAUCUCAUCGCUCUUCCUCUAAAUUCACAUGUAAAACAUUGUUGCCUUUGUUCAUUAGGUGCUGAAAGAAUCUCCAAGACGCAGGUGAUUCUCGUCUGCUUUCUCUACUUUGGCUUUUGUGAUUUUCGAAUUGUUCAUAUGAUUUUGUGGUUUGAUUGGAUUAUUUCAUUGAUCUGUUGGAGGAGAGUUUGACUUGGCUUAUGUUGGACGUACAUGCAUUACAUUCUGUUGUUUUCAGCUAGUUUUUGUUGUGAGAAGUUAUUCACACGUUUUCGUGUAUUUUCGUAUACAAUCUCUCAUCUCUGUGAUGUUUUUGUCAUAAGCGAAUGAUCCUUUGUUUCGUUUUGGUUUCUAUUUGAUUAGCUGCUUUUGAUUUCUUGGGUAUAGUUUCUGGUAUUAAUUUAAUCUGCUUUCUAUUUGAUAUCCAGCCAAUCGAAAUUGUGAAAGGGUUUAAGGUUCUUGAAGCCAAAAUCUACUGCUCCACAAUCUAUAAGGUGAAAUAAAGUAGAAAUAUGAUUCUGUUGAACUCAUAGUGCUAAUUGAUGGUGUUUGAUUUUAUGGUUUUAGUUCUUCGUGCGAUUCCUUGCUUGAUACCAAUCCUGUCAUAUUACCAAGGGAUAUAUAAUUAUUGAAGCUAUGGCGACUGUCUCCACUAUACAUAAGGUACAAUUUAUAAAUUCACCACAUUCAUAGUUUUGAUCAUCAAAUUCAUCAGAAACGUUUGUUUUCAAUUCGUUUUCAGCUUCUCAUGGUUAUGCAAAUUACUGUGAAUUUAUAAUUUGUGAUUCUGCAUCUCUUUGUCUGAUUGAACUUUGCUUGUUUUCACCUAGUAUUAUGAUGAAUAAUAAAUUAUUUCUAGACAUAUGGUUUGACGGACAUGUCUUCACUUUUACUAUGAAUUAUCUUCCCCACCCCCAAUAAAUGGCGAUUUUAAUAUUCAAUUUUACUGAAGCAUCAAUUUGGACAUGUCUCAUGUGUAUCAGUUUUAUCUUUAUCUAACAAGCAUUAGUAGGGAGUCUAGGGACUACAGCUGCGACAUCAAUUACCACAAUAUUAGCUCGAGCUAACCUUAACAUUUAUUGCUUCUGCCUUCAGCCAUUAUUACAAUGAUCAUGAGACUAUGUACAUAAAAAUCUCUAGUCUUUCCGUAUGAUCUUAAUGAUCAGGAUGGCCAUAUUGUGAACCACAGCAUUUCUAGUUCAUUUGAGCCAUUCUCUCUUUGGAUUGUAUGACAACAUUGGCAUAAAACUGGUAAACAACUUCUGUGUGCAACGUGUCAUUGCUGCAGUUGAAGCCUGUUUCAAGUGUCAAUUUUAUGGUCAUUUGAUAAGACAAACAAUGGCUGAAACCAUUUUUAGGGUGUGUGUGUGUGUGUGUGUGUUAAUUAGGGAUGCAUAGAGCUAACCCGAAAUUCAUCACAUCUUUUGGUGCACCAUUUGUUUGCUUUUGUGGCUGGCUUAGCUCAAGAUUAAUAGGUAUAAAAGGAUAUCCAUCGUUGAUGCUGUGCAUAUUCUGGGGAACCCUGUUUUCUUCGCUUGUGCUUCCCGGGCCAUAAACCUAAAUCAGAACUUGCUUUAAUUUAGACCGAAAUUUACUUUGACAGUUGACUUCUGGCCUACAUUUUAUUCAUCAUACAAGUUUGAUACUUAGUCGUAGUCUGUCAAUACCUUUUUCUUCAAAUCCUCAUUUUCCUUGGCAACAAGAUUCAUCUUCUUGUGAAGUUCCAUAUUCUCUUGAUGGAUGACGUUUCCCUGUAACAAGAUCAAUGAUGCUAUCCCCAAUUCUAAACAUGAAUAUAAAAUAGAAACUCUAGCUUGUUAAUUGUCUCAAAAGUGGACCUUCUGAUUUAAGUCGUUGAUUUGAGUAGUCAGAGUUUGUUCCUGCGAGAGAUAAAUAAAUUAAAUUAAAACUUAUAUGAGAACCUGUCCAUAUAGUUAUGCUAGACAUGAUUGUUACUUGCCUUUUUCACACGAACGCCUUUCAAGCUCAUCUCUAGUUGAUUUUCCAGAUUUUGGAGGUCUCUGAUGUUCAAUCCAGCAAGUUCUUCUCCCAAAAGCUUCCUGCAACCGCAACAGAAGAGGCAAGUCAUUUCAGAUAAAAGAUGAGAGGUAUCAGCAUUUUUUAGGAGGCCCUGUGCCUAUUGUAGUCCUACUAACUGAAUUUCAUUAUACACAUGCCUCUUCUACAUUUCUUUUAAAUCAAGAUGCUUUUGAUGUAUGCACAUUUUUAACGCAUGUUCUGUGUCUCAAGUUCGUAUGACAAUAUAUGCAUAUGCAUCCUCCAUAUGUUAACUGUUUCGUGUUUCUAUAACAAGACGCACAUUGCAGAAUUAUUUAGAGUGGGAUUGAGAUGAUAUAUGCCGUCUACAUGACAAUCGCAA